UCAUUAUUCAUCUUCUUCAAACAUCUUCUUCUUCAUUUUCAUCCCUGUCAUUUUCUUCCCACAUCAUCCUCAAUUCUUCUAUUUUGAUUCAAAAUUCUAUUGGAGAAAAAAACUAAAAGGAGCAGCAGCAACUUCCAUUUGGUGUUUCAAAAGAGCGUAGGUGGCAGAAGCGACAACAGAAGCGAUGAAAGGUGGCAGAGAUGGAGAAAAAGGUGAACGAAGAUACCCAUAGCUUUGCAGACGAAGUUGAGGUUGCUGAUUCGGUCAAUGGUUCGGCGACGGUGGCGGGUGAUGGUGAAGGAGGCAGAUUCAAGUCACCACCUUUCUUCUUCAGAUCUGGUCUCUGUUGAUUCUGUGUCUCUCUCAUUUCAGAUAUUCCUCCCUCCACGACUCCUUCCUCUUUAAAACUCAUAAAAAUCCCCCUUUGUUCACCCCCAGAACCCAGAAAACCCACCGAUUUUGGAACACCAACACACUUGCAUUUUCAAGUUCUGGGUUUUAUGGUUGUUUAUGGUUUGAGUACUAGAUUUGAAGGGGGUCAAUUGAUCUUCU
rnacentral:lncRNA from 1 species